AGAAUUGAUCUGGUUCAGGAUGAACGCUAGCGGCAGGCUUAACACAUGCAAGUCGAGGGGCAACGCGAGUAGCAAUACUUGGCGGCGACCGGCGCAAGGGUGCGUAACGCGUGAGCAACAUGCCCGUAUCAGGGGGAUAAUCCAGGGAAACUUGGUCUAAUACCCCAUAGUAAUUUUGUAAGGCAUCUUAUAAGAUUUAAAGCUUUGGUGGAUACGGAUUGGCUCGCGUGACAUUAGCUGGAUGGUAAGGUAACGGCUUACCAUGGCUAUGAUGUCUAGGGGUUCUGAGAGGAAGGUCCCCCACACUGGAACUGAGACACGGUCCAGACUCCUACGGGAGGCAGCAGUGAGGAAUAUUGGACAAUGGAUGGAAAUCUGAUCCAGCCAUGCCGCCGUGAAGGAAGAAGGUCCUAUGGAUUGUAAACUUCUUUUGUAUGGGAGCAAUAAGGCCUACGAGUAGGUUGGUGAGAGUACCAUACGAAUAAGCACCGGCUAACUCCGUGCCAGCCGCUGC
rnacentral:rRNA from 1 species